CCCACAGUCAGCUGGAGCAGAAUCACCUGUACAUGGCCUACGCUGGCAUCAUGGCCAAGAGCUGCCACAUGGGGGAAGGGGAGGAGGAAGAGGAGAAGGAAGAGGCCGAGGACUCGUUCGAGGAGAAGGAGAUGGAGAAGCAGAAGCUGCUGUCCCAGCAGGCCCGGCUGCACACGCGGGGGGCGGCUGAGAUGGUGCUGCAGAUGAUCAGUGCCUGCAAGGG